AGUCUUCAUGAAAGAUAUCCAAAACUUGAUCUUCACUGAAAAACAAGACUGAAGGCAAGCAGAAGGUUGUUUUGGCAAAGCAUACUGAACUGAUAAAGAACUAAUUAGUGUAUUUGAGUUCAGGCCUUGGGACAUUUUGUCCAAAUGCUUUCUUUUUAAUUCAUAAUUUAAAAUGUACCUCUCUCUUUUACUUUGAAACGCAUGCUUCCUUUGGAGUAAAUUCUGAUGGUAUAUAAAGGAGUGAGUUAUAUCUAAAUGAUUUAAAUGUGUUCACCAUGAAUUGCCAGUAACUGUUUUACUCUCCUGACAUUAUAAAAUCUGUCAAAUAUAAUUCAGGAAGAUGUCAAGCAUUAAACAGAGAUAUGACAGCUUUAACCUGGGUUGACUUCAAAAGUACCUUACUAUCCCUCCCUUGCUUGAGAGUUUUUGUAACAUAAAUCAAAGCACAGCACUUAUAAAAUACAUUUGUCUCAUUUACCUGAGCUCUGUCACAUCUUUGAAGGUGUUUCAGGCAUUUAUUUACUCAGAUUCAACAAGGAGCUGAGAUGGUGAGGAUGGCACAAUCAGAAUGUAAGGGAUGCCUUCAAAGUCCAAACUGAUGAGAGAUGCUGUUAUAAAGAAACGACAUAACCACAGAUAAGUGUAGACUUCACUCCUAUUAA
rnacentral:lncRNA from 1 species